GUCCACGCCGUAAACGAUGAAUGCCAGCCGUUGGGGGUUUACUCUCCAGUGGCGCAGUUAACGCUUUAAGCAUUCCGCCUGGGGAGUACGGUAGCAAGAUUAAAACUCAAAGGAAUUGACGGGGCCCGCACAAGCGGUGGAGCAUGUGGUUUAAUUCGACGCAACGCGCAGAACCUUACCAGCCCUUGACAUCCCGGUCGCGGUUUCCAGAGACGGAGACCUUCAGUUCGGCUGGACCGGAGACAGGUGCUGCAUGGCUGUCGU
rnacentral:rRNA from 1 species